rnacentral:rRNA from 1 species
AUGGCCUCCUUCGUCUCCGCCUCCUCCACCACCACAGCACUCCUCUGCUCCGCCCCUCCCGCCUCCCGCGGCGGGCUCGUGGGAGCGUGGGCGGCCCCGGCCCGGCGCGCGCUCGCGGCUCCACUGCGCGCGGCAGCGGCGCAGGGGUCAGCCAACUCCGCGCCGGUCAUGAUGGAGAGCAAGGUCAAGAAGAGGAACAAGAAGGGCGCCGGCGCCGGGGGCCUCCCCGCCGCCAUCGACCUCGAGAUCCGGGAGGCCGAGCAGUACCUCGCCACCGACGGACAGGAACCUACUCCAGAAGACUUUCCCUUUGAAAUGGUCGAUGAAGAUGGGAUGAGCGUGGUUAUUCUGAAAAGGGACUACAAGGAUGAGAAGAUUGAGGUCAUUGUCAGCAUGCCUAAUAUGGAAGGGGAUCCUGAGUUUGAUGAAGAUGACGAGGCCGAUGAGGAGGCGGCUGCCAAGGACGAAGACGAUGAAGAUGAGGGCGGCGAAGAUAGCAGCCUUGCUAUGAAGGUGAUAGUCUCCAAGGGAUCUGGCCCGAACCUCGAGUUCACCUGCACAGCCUUCCGCGAGGAGAUCACCAUUGACGACAUGAUGAUAGCAGAGAAAACAGAGCCUGAUGCAGAGAAGUUCCCCUUUGAAGGCCCUGAAUUCACCGAGCUUCCUCCAAACGUGCAGAAGGGCCUGUUCAAGUUCCUGGAGGUGCGAGGUGUGACGCUGACGACAACCAACUUCAUGCACGACUACAUGAUCACCAAGCAGACCAAGGAGUACGUCCGGUGGAUGACCAAGCUCAAGGGUCUGGUCCAGUAG